AGAAAUAAUUGUGAAGACGCCUUCUUAUCACCAUGAAGUCUAUUUUCUUUGCUUUGGUCAUCUUUGCUGUGGCUAUGCAGGUAUUUUCGGAUAACUUAUCCAUCAAGGCCGAUACAGGGAAGGAGAAAUUUCUCACUAGCCUGUUCAACAUAACCACCAUCGUGUGCAGUACUGUCGUAAAGCCAGUUCAGACUACACUGACCAGUCUAGUA